CUCACUAAUUAAUGCUGGAGGUGGUGGGACUGCCAAGAUGAAUAGACAUAAUCCUCGAUCUAACCACUUCACAGUUUAUCAUCGGAGUCAAGUUUGCAGAUAAACAAUUGCCAUGCAACUUUCAAGUUGAGAAUAACUCAUCCAGGGUUGUUGAAUGGUGGAGGAUCUUCCAAAAUCAGCAGCUAGGAGGUCGAGAACCCUUCAUGCCAUACUAAGAAGUUUCAUGCUAGGCAAAGAAGAGUGACAAGGUAUUUCAACAGGUGAAUGAUAGGUACACAAAGAAGGAUUACCACAGGAAAUCCAGAGAGGCUUUAGAAGACGAGCUUGCGUUGAGAUAGAAGCCGGAAGCCCACUUAGCCAACUGCCUCCAUGGGACUUGGCAUGAGGCAGGCUUAUGACAGUAAAUGCUACACUGCCCUCAGUGAAAAAGAGAAUUUGGCAUUCAUUCUUCUGAACCCGCCAUCCCUCAGCCUUGGCGCCUGGGAAUUCUGCGAAUCGUUGCCUGUGGCAGUGACACUGAUUUGUAUCUGGGUAUGAACUUAAAUGAAAACAUGAAUUGAACUCAUUACUUGAGGAAGGAAACACUGCCAAAUUUAACAGGAUGAAAUUCCAGCAGGGUGUAAGGUUUUAUGGGGCUACAGUGGAAUAUCUCAUAGAAAGGUUUCCAGUUCAUAAAACACUUUCAAAACAUGCUCGGCCCUUUUAAGUUGAAGGGACAUUAUCAUUUCUAUCUAUGGCAUUUCUCUGCAAAUUGAACUCAAAUAUCCUUUGGGCUGACUACACAGAGAACAGAAGAAAGAAGUGGAAGAAACUUGGACUGAAGAUUGCCUCCCUGAAAAGGUUUUCUUCAGGCAGAAUUAGGUGAGAACAAAUGACAUCAGAAAGUAGCAUGUCAGUAUACUGCUGCCAGCUCCAUAUGGUUCAGCUUGUUUUCACAGGUAUUUAAUUAAUUCCACAAACAUAUAUUGAGUAUCAGAUGUGGGAUCCUGUUCAACACAUUUGGGGUACAGUAGUCAAUUAGUCUACUCUCAUGGCACAUACAUGCUGGAAGGAGAGAAAAACAAUAAAUAAAUGAACAAAAGAUGCAGUAUCAGGUAGUGAUCAUUGCUAUCAAGAAAAAUAAAGCAAGAGAAAAUGGGAUAGAAGGUGUCAGGGGUGCGGGGUGACAUUUUACAUAGUGUGUUUGGCAAAGGCAAUUCUCAGGUGGUGACAUUUGAACAGAAGCUUGAAUGAAGUGACCUACAUGUUGAAUCCAGAAAGCUAAUUUUAUAUAUAUAUAUUUUUGGAAGGGGGCAGGAGAUAAUAAGCUAGUAAAAGGGUUGGGAAAUUAUUUUGAUUCAAGGAUGCCCAGUUUAAAAAACUGUAAGAGACAGCCCCUCUUUUUCUCCCAGUAUAGCGCUUUCGGUGGCCAUUUGAAUAGAGCUCUGCAUGUUUCCUUGGGAUUUUCUGGUGUUCAUGGCAUAACAACCAGCCAGCAGUCUUCUGGC
rnacentral:lncRNA from 1 species